UACGAAGGGGGCUAGCGUUGUUCGGAAUUACUGGGCGUAAAGGGCGCGUAGGCGGCCAUUCAAGUUAGGUGUGAAAGCCCUGGGCUCAACCUAGGAAUUGCACUUGAUACUGUUUGGCUUGAGUUCGGGAGAGGUGAGUGGAAUUCCCAGUGUAGAGGUGAAAUUCGUAGAUAUUGGGAAGAACACCAGUGGCGAAGGCGGCUCACUGGACCGACACUGACGCUGAGGCGCGAAAGCGCGGGGAGCAAACAGG
rnacentral:rRNA from 1 species